rnacentral:lncRNA from 1 species
CCUUGCUAUCUUUGAUGUUAAUUAGAUGGCAUUUUGUUUUCUAUAAAGCAUCAUUCUACAUGAAAAACUUUAUAUUUCUAUCACCUACUUGCAUCCAUUUGAUUUGAUACUGUUGAUGCCAAAGAUUCCUCUUUUUUUAUUUUUUUCCCAUUUUGCUUCCAAUUUUUAUUUCAGCUCUUGAAGUUUGCAGCCUUAUAUUUUUUUCAUAUGCACAUUGUACCCCUGCUUACUUCUCUUCUUACUAGGUGACUUUAGUUAUUUAUUAGAUGAGACAAAUACUGAGUUUCUGGAGGUUAGUUUGUCUCUCCUUAGGUGGUUUAUGUUUUGUAUAGAGUAAAGGAGACCGCUUUGAAUGUGCCAAAGAUAUUAAGUAUCAAAGGAACCCCUGUCAGACAAAUUCUAGCAAGUGGACUUAUGGUUGUAGGUGCUGAAAUAUAUCUCUAGCUCAUCUCUAGGCCGACCUCUAGUUUGGUCUUUGACCAACC